rnacentral:rRNA from 1 species
UACGGAGGGUGCGAACGUUAAUCGGAAUCACUGGGCGUAAAGCGCGCGUAGGCGGUUUGUUAAGUGGGAUGUGAAAUCCCCGGGCUUAACCUGGGAAUUGCAUUUCAAACUGGCCGACUAAAGUACGGUAGAGGGAGGUAGAAUUUCCUGUGUAGCGGUGAAAUGCGUAGAUAUAGGAAGGAAUACCAGUGGCGAAGGCGGCCUCCUGGAUCGAUACUGACGCUGAGGCGCGAAAGCGUGGGGAGCAAACAGG